CAAAGGAACACAGCCUAAGUACGCCGCGUCCUGCGGCAAUGGCUGCGUGACCCACAUCAUGUGG
rnacentral:sRNA from 1 species